rnacentral:lncRNA from 1 species
CCAGGUUCCCUGUGUCAGCCCAGGGAUCAGGGACAGAAAAGCCCUUGGAAGCCUGGGUCAGCAAGACAGCCAGCAUGGAGAAACAGGCUCCUCUUCUGCAGUCUACCUGUGCCCCACUGAGAGAGACUGAUAAUGGGCUCAUGGCCCUAGGAGGCCCAGAACUUCCUGCUGCCUCCUCCAGCCUCCUUCUGCCCCUGCAGAACUGGGAAUCCUCCACCAUGGCCAGCAGGCCCCUCACCAGGCUGCAGCUCCAGGAGGCACUGCUGAACCUCAUCCAGAAUGACGACAACUUCUUAAGCAUAAUCUACGAAGCCUAUCUCUUCAGCGUGACACAAGCCGCCAUGAGAAAAGCCACGUGACCAGCUACCUGAGAGCAAAGACUGAGAACUGGUUUUCCGGGGUCUUCCUGUGAACUGGUGUGACCAAACACAUUUAUGCCUUUUUAACAAAGUAUAGUGAUGCAGAGUAAAAUGUUUUGUACUAUCC